UAAGCAAGAAACUAACAGUACUAUGGUUUCGGCCCAUAAUUGGGUGUUCUAUAUCACCCUUGCUUUA
rnacentral:tRNA from 1 species